rnacentral:lncRNA from 1 species
AAAAAUAGAAAAAAAUAUAAUAGUAUAUAAAACAUUUAGUUCAUAUACUUAUUAAAAAAAUAUUUUAUUAGAAAACCAUGAUAUUAUAAUAUAAUAAAUAUAAUAUUAUAUAAUAACAUUUAGUUCAUAUACUAUCAAAAGUAUAUUAAUAAGUAAUAAAAACUAUUAACAAAGUAAAAUGUAUUAAACAAAUCAUUAUAUAUUAAUAAUGAUGAAUAUGAAAUAUAAACAAUAAUAUUAUAGAGUUACACAAUAUAUAAUAUUAAAAUAAAAAUUAGAUAUUUAAAAUAUUUAUAAUAAUAUCA